UACCAGCACCCCGAGUGGUCGGGACGUUUAUCGGGCCUAAAGCAUCCGUAGCCGGUUCUACAAGUCUUCCGUUAAAUCCACCUGCUUAACAGAUGGGCUGCGGAAGAUACUAUAGAGCUAGGAGGCGGGAGAGGCAAGCGGUACUCGAUGGGUAGGGGUAAAAUCCGUUGAUCCAUUGAAGACCACCAGUGGCGAAGGCGGCUUGCCAGAACGCGCUCGACGGUGAGGGAUGAAAGCUGGGGGAGCAAACCGG
rnacentral:rRNA from 1 species